rnacentral:rRNA from 1 species
UACAGGGGUGGCAAGCGUUGUUCGGAAUUACUGGGCGUAAAGGGCGCGUAGGCGGUUCGUUAAGUCCUGUGUGAAAUCCCCCGGCUCAACUGGGGAACUGCACAGGAAACUAGCGGGCUUGAGUUCGGGAGAGGGAAGCGGAAUUCCGGGUGUAGCGGUGAAAUGCGUAGAUAUCCGGAGGAACACCGGUGGCGAAGGCGGCUUCCUGGACCGACACUGACGCUGAGGCGCGAAAGCUAGGGGAGCAAACGGG